GAUGAACGCUGGCGGCGUGCCUAAUACAUGCAAGUCGAGCGAAUGGAUUAAGAGCUUGCUCUUAUGAAGUUAGCGGCGGACGGGUGAGUAACACGUGGGUAACCUGCCCAUAAGACUGGGAUAACUCCGGGAAACCGGGGCUAAUACCGGAUAACAUUUUGAACCGCAUGGUUCGAAAUUGAAAGGCGGCUUCGGCUGUCACUUAUGGAUGGACCCGCGUCGCAUUAGCUAGUUGGGGAGGUAACGGCUCACCAAGGCAACGAUGCGUAGCCUACCUAGGAGGGUGAUCGGCCACACUGGGACUAAGACACGGCCCAGACUCCUCCGGGAGGGAGCGGUAGGGAAUCUUCCGCAAUGGACGAAAGUCUGACGGAGCAACGCCGCGUGAGUGAUGAAGGCUUUCGGGUCGUAAAACUCUGUUGUUAGGGAAGAACAAGUGCUAGUUGAAUAAGCUGGCACCUUGACGGUACCUAACCAGAAAGCCACGGCUAACUACGUGCCAGCAGCCGCUGUAA
rnacentral:rRNA from 1 species